rnacentral:lncRNA from 1 species
ACUAGAACCAGAUGCUCCGCAGGGCGUAGCUUUAUACGACCGCAGAGGUUGAACCCUGAACGGUUGGGGCAAGUAUGGACACAACAUUCAAGCUGGAUUCAGCUCUAAAUUUGGAUUGUGAUUAAAUAGUUGACACAGCAUAGGUUUCUGACACAGAAUGAAUGUGUUCUAAUGAACUUAAAAUUUUUGUUUUCUCUUAGAGCAAUUCACUAUGCUGUUGAAUAUUAAUCCUCUCAAAAAAAUGUUUGAAGAAAUUUUCUUUUUUAUUUAUGAA